AUGAGCUGGCUCGUUAAAGUAUCGAGCCGAAAAAUUCAGCUCGUGUUCGGCUUAUUAAUAGACGAGCCGAACACGAGCUGGCCAACGAACAAUAAGUUAAAAGGGAUUAGAUUGAAUAUAUAUAUAAAAAAUAAAUUUAUAAAAUCUUAUCCAUUAGACUUUGAUCUAAUAGUUGAAACUUUACAUAUAAAUGAAUCUUUUUAUAAUU
rnacentral:lncRNA from 1 species